rnacentral:rRNA from 1 species
UACGUAGGGUGCAAGCGUUGCCUGGAUUUAUUGGGCGUAAAGGGCGCGCAGGCGGCUCGGCACGUCCGUUGUGAAAGCCCCCGGCUCAACUGGGGAGGGUCACGCGAUACUGAUCGACUCGAAGGCAGGAGAGGGUAGUGGAAUUCCCGGUGUAGCGGUGAAAUGCGUAGAUAUAGGAAGGAAUACCAGUGGCGAAGGCGGCCUCCUGGAUCGAUACUGACGCUGAGGCGCGAAAGCGUGGGGAGCAAACAGG